CGCGUAGGCGGUUGGAUAAGUCAGCUGUGAAAACCACGGGCUUAACUCGUGGCCUGCAGUUGAGACUGUCUGGCUUGAGUGUGGGAGAGGAGAGUGGAAUUCCUGGUGUAGCGGUGAAAUGCGUAGAUAUCAGGAGGAACACCGGUGGCGAAGGCGGCUCUCUGGACCACAACUGACGCUGAGGCGCGAAAGCUAGGGAGCAAACA
rnacentral:rRNA from 1 species